GGGAGGGAGGGGGUGGGCAUGGUUAAGGCAGUUCUGACUUUUAUCAUAUGGGCUGUAGACUUGUAUCCUGAAUUUCUUCAACAUUGUGAAUGAGAGUCCCCUGAGUUGUCACAUUAGAGAAUUUUGUUAAUUAUUUUUAGACUUUGAUUAACUUAUCUCUUUGAAAAGUUCCUUAGCUCUUGAAACCACUUAGCUCGGUUAUUCCCAAUUACUCCUAUUACCAACUUGCUCCAGAACUUAAUUCCUUGGAAGGCUACAAAUCUUCUAAUUACAGCCUAAACGUAUUUCAUUAUACACACUUAUUCUUGUGUCACCAUUGACCUUCAGUAUAAACAGGUUUCAUCUGACCCUGAGGUAUUUGUAGGCAAUUUUUAAGCUGUGUUGAACGAGGGCAUGGAAGAAUGAUAUUCUGCAAAUCCUUUUCAAUAACCUGUUAUUGCAGGGGGAUUUGAUGGCUUGUGGUCCUUCACGCUUGUAUUGUGGGCAGUGAUUUCACCUGUAAAUGCCUUCAUUGAGUUGAUGAAUUCAUUAAACCUGGUAGUUUCAUAUGCCUUUCCUACAGUUCCAGGAAAAGAAAUACCAUUGUAUAAUAUUACAGAACGGUUCAGGUUGGAAGGGACCUCAGGAAGUGUAUCUCUAGGUUGACUUCCUACUCAAAACAAGGUCAGCUGUGAGAUCAAAUGAGAUUGCUUAGGGCUUUAAUCAGUCAGGUCUUGAAAACACCCAGGGAUGCAGAAGCAUAGUCUGUGCAACCUGCUCCAAUGUUUCUGUCCUCUUGUGGGUGUGGGGAGGCUGCUGCUUGGUCCCUCUGAAGCUGUAUCUUCUUCAGGCUGAAUGCUGACUUCAUUCUAGUUUGUUGAUGUCUUCAUUAUAUUGGGAAAAUGAAAAAUUUGUGGUAUACUAAAUGUGAUCUAACAAGUAAAGGGGGCUGGUCUAGCCUGUGGUACUGUUAGAGCAUACUGCUGGCUUGUGUUCAGCUCACAGUUUGCUAAAACCCUCUGAUCUUCUCCCACCGAACUGCUCCUCGGCCAGUCAGUUCCCAGCCUGUAUCACUGCAAGGGUUUUUUCCCUUCUAAAGUGCUGGACUUCACAUUUGUCCUUGUUGAACUUCAUGAGAUUCCUGUCAGCACAUUCCUCUAGCCUGUCUAGAUCCAUCAGAAUGGUAACCCUGCCAUUAAGCAUACCAAUUUAUUUCUCCUCCAGUUUGAUGUCAUCUCUGACCUUUGUGAAUAAGUACUACAUUGCCUCCUUCAGGAAACUGAUAAAGAUGUUAAGCAGGACAUACCCGCAAGUAGAACCCUUUGGCACUUCAGUUGUUAUUGGCCUGCUGUCAGAAUACGCCCUAUUAACCACAACCCUCCAAAUCUGACCUUCCCACGAGGUUAUUACUUAUUUGAUUAUUCAUCCAUCCGGAAGGUAAUGUACUAAUGUGGAUACAGAAAGAUGUCAGGAGAGAAUGUCAAUAUGCUUGCUGAAGUCAAGGUAAAUGAGAUCUUUUGCUCUUCCUUCCUAUACAAAUCCAUGCAUUUACUCAUGGAAGACAAACUGUUUGGUCAGGCAUGGCUUGCCUUUCUUCAGUUCAUAGUGAUUGCCUCCAUUCAGCACCUUCUCUGUGCACUCAGAAAUGUGUUCCAGGAACCUUUGCUCCAUGACUUCCCUGGAGUCUGAAGUGAGACUAACCAUAUUUUUGACACCUUUUUAAAAUGUGUUCAAUUUUUGCCUUUUUUUUUUUUUUUUUCUCUCCAGUCAUUGAGGAUCUCUGCCAGUCUCUAUAAACUCAAAAAAUGUUAGGCAGCCUUACAAGGGCCUUGCAAUCAUUUCUUGGCAUCCUAGGGCACAGCGUUUUGGGUUCCAUAGUCUCUCUAAGUGUCUCAUUCCUUCAAGCAAUUCCUGACUCAGUCUUUACCCACUGUUGCUGAUUUGUUUUCUGUUUAGACUCUUUUUCUAAGCACAGAAGCUUCAGAGAUGUUUCUGAUGAAGACAGGAUCAGAAAUCAUUAAGUAUCUCAGACUUAUCUGUGUCUCUAGUUAUUAAAUUUUCUACCCCAUUCAGCAGUGGUCACAAAUUUUCCUUGUUAAGUGCUUCUAAUGUUAAUGCAUUUGUGACCUUUUCGGUUGGGUUUUUUGUUGUUGUUGUUGUUGUUUUUUACUUAAUCUUACAACCUCUAAUUAACGUGAAGUAUAUAUUUAGAAAGACACUCUAAAUUGGUGUCCUUUUCUAUUCAGGUUUUUAAGGAAGACAAAACUAGAGAUGUAGUAAAUGUUUCAGUGUGGAAAAGAUGAAUUCUGCUCUGUCUUUUGCAUAUUCCUGUUCUAUAACUAGUGAAAUAGAGACAUGAUCUUAAAGUUUUUCUGUACAAUUUAACUUGUGAGCAGAUGUUCAGAAAGACUUCAGAAAAUAUAAUUAUUAAGACAAGUUAAAUCUUAGAUUUUCUUUCUUCCAUCAAAAUCUUCAAAAAAAGAUUUUAUUUGUGCCUAUUCUAUAAAAAGAAAAAGAGGAAAGAGAAUUAAGGGUUUAGCUUGAAUUAGCUGGAAACUUGACUUUCACAAAUAAAUCCAGCCUUGGUCUAGUUUAAAGAAAGGAUCAAGUCCUACAUGGUUGUGAGAAAUCAGGAAACAGAAAUGUGUAAACAACUGCAUAAAAGUUUUAAAGAAAAAAAAAUAACAUUUCUGCAAAAUUGGCAUAGUUAUAGUGAAAUGUUAAGUGAAAAUCCUAAAUUGCUUCAUCUUUUGUUUUUUGUAGUGAUAUGUGUAUCCUAGAGGUUUUUUUGAAUGUCUCCAAAAACACAAUUCAGUUCUUCUAAAGUAGUGGUGAUGAGUUCUAAUUGCUUUUAAAUUACUUAUUUAGCCCAAGAAAGUUGGGGCUCACCAACAUAUGGAACAGAAAUAAAAUGUUAACCACAUGUCUGAGAUGCUGGACGACUACCUGGGAGAAAUGAAAAACUGCAGAGCUCAACUAAUAGCGAUUGUCAACAGAGGCAGCGGUUUCCAGGCUCUGUUUUUUGUUGUUGUUGUUGUUGUUUGCUUGUUUGUUUGCUUGCUUGCUUUUGACAUCUUUGAUUUUUCUUGAGGUUUUGGGGUCUGCGACUUCCUGGGAAUCCUCCAAGGAUCAGGAAGGUGGCAGCUGCUGCUAGACACUGAUACUACCAGAAAAAGAGAACAUGGAUAUGAUCCAAGAGCUGUUGAAGAGCAUCUCUUCUUGGCUUCAGAGGCAUGUUUGAUCAGGCCCC
ensembl:lncRNA